GCCAGGUGUGGUGGUGGGCACCUGUAAUCCCAGCUACUUGGGAGGCUGAGGCAGGAGAAUUGCUUGAACCUGGGAGGUGGAGGUUGCAGUGAGCCGAGAUUGCGCCACUGCACUCCAGCCUGGGUGACAAAGCAAGACUUUGUCUCCG
ensembl:misc_RNA Metazoa_SRP Metazoan signal recognition particle RNA